CCCCAAAAACACACAGUUUUGGUCCUAAACUUGCCGUUGUUUUUUAUUAAAUUUACACAUGCAAGCUUCAACAACCCAGUGAGAUUGCCCAAAACCCCUAAACAGCUAUAAGGAGCAGGCAUCAGGAUUGCAGACACCUCUAGCCAAAAACGCCUUGCUAGGCCACACCCACACGGGAAUUCAGCAGUGAAUAACAUUAAGACAUGAGUGAAAGCUCGACUUAGUUAUAAUAAAUAAAGUCGGUAAAUUUCGUGCCAGCCACCGCGGUUAUACGAAAGACUUAAAACAACGGCCCACGGCGUAAAGCGUGACCGAAAGACAGUCAAAAAAUUAAAGAAAUAUUACUUCAAAGUUGUAAAACACCUUGCUAGUAAGACCUUCAACAACAAAAUGACUUUAAAACACAGACACUUCCCCUCACGAAAGCUAAGAAACAAACUAGGAUUAGAUACCCUACUAUGCUUAGCCCUCAACAUAGACAGUAAAACCACAAUACUGUCCGCCAGAGAACUACAAGUGAAAAACUAGAAACUCCAAGGACUUGGCGGUGCUCCAUACCGACCUAGAGGAGCCUGUCCUAUAAUCGAUAAUCCACGUUUCACCUCACCACCUCUUGCAAGUCAGCCUAUAUACUGCCGUCGUCAGCUUACCUUAUGAAAGAAACAAAGUAAGCAAAAUAGUAAACAACAAAAACGUCAGGUCAAUGUGUAGCAUAUGGGGUGGAAGAGAUGGGCUACACUCUCUACCACAGAACACACGAACAGUACAAUGAAAUAAGUACUCAAAGGCGGAUUUAGUAGUAAGACAAACAAGAAACUUUGACUGAAAUACGCUCUGGAGCGCGCACACACCGCCCGUCACCCUCAUCG
rnacentral:ncRNA from 1 species